rnacentral:rRNA from 1 species
UACGUAGGGUGCGAGCGUUAAUCGGAAUUACUGGGCGUAAAGCGUGCGCAGGCGGUUUUGUAAGCCGGAUGUGAAAUCCCCGGGCUUAACCUGGGAAUGGCAUUCGGGACUGCAAGGCUGGAGUGCGGCAGAGGAGACUGGAAUUCCUGGUGUAGCAGUGAAAUGCGUAGAUAUCAGGAGGAACACCGAUGGGCGAAGGCAGGUCUCUGGGCUGACACUGACGCUCAUGCACGAAAGCGUGGGGAGCAACAGGAUUAGA